AAGUUAGGCGGUCUCUUGCUUUUUUCAGCUUGUCACGCUACAUUGCUUUUUUCUUUUGUCAUUUUCUCUUUAACCCACUUUACCCCAACGGCCCAAUAACUCACUUCUUUAUAGAUAACUUUUUGUAUAUCUCUCUCCUCCUUGAAAACCCUAGCUUUCUUCCAACUUCCUACCUUCUUGUUCCUCUCCUGGCCUUCCGAUCCGCAACCAACUCUCAUAUUUGAACUUCCAUUACUAUCAUACUCACACUCCUUCACCCAUUCUAUAUCCUCAUCUUCACCCCGUUACCACCAAAAACUCUGUCGCAUACAUCCCUCAUCAUCAUUUUUUUCACGGUGGCAGCGUUGGCAAUCAACUUAUCAUUCCCCUGCUUCAAAGCUAUAAUCAUAUGUAUCAAUUCAUAUUUGAAGCUAAAGACAAAGAUCUAUACGAUUGAUUAGUUGAAGUUCACGAUGAAGAAGAUUAAGGGUUUUUUUUUUUAAUAAUUAUGGGUUUCGUAUAAUUUUGUACUCUAUAUCAUGUACUUCGUAUAAAAUAUUUAAGAUGGUAAUUUUACAUGUAUAAGAAUCCAUUACGGAGUAGUUAUUUUGA